rnacentral:rRNA from 1 species
UACGGAGGGUGCAAGCGUUGUCCGGAAUCACUGGGCGUAAAGGGCGCGUAGGCGGCUCAUGAAGGCUGUGGUGAAAGUCCGGGGCUCAACCUCGGAUCGGCCGUGGCGACUCGUGGGCUGGAGCACUGUAGAGGCGGGUGGAAUUCCGGGUGUAGCGGUGGAAUGCGUAGAGAUCCGGAAGAACACCGGAGGCGAAGGCGGCUUGCUGGGCAGUUGCUGACACUGAGGCGCGACAGCGUGGGGAGCAAACAGG